UGGGCAACUAUUUGUUUCAAAAAUUCACAGUUUAAUCUAAAUUAAACGAAACAACCACAAGAACAACAACAACAAUCAAUCAAUCUUGUUUUUAAGCAGAGAGCAUCGGCGAAAACAAACCUAAUUCAAAGAAUCAACAUUUAUAUUGGCAGAUAAACAUUAAUUGCAAAUACAAAUAUACACAAACGAACCCAAAAUCCGGCAAAAUGGCAGCUUCCCCUGAGAUGCGCCAAACUGAGGUCAAGCGACAGUGGAGGGAAAGGAGCGGCGGCGAUCGGCGGCGCAAAGCCUGAUGUCUCAACGAUGUUGCUUUAACUGGUGCUUCACGCGUAGCUAUUGACGGCGGCGGUGGCCAUUGUUUUGUUGUCGGCGGAGGAGGCACGCAUGCCUGAUGCUUUGACAUCUUCAUCGGACUCCAGCGACGGCGAUAAGCCACUAAAGAAGAGGAAAAUUGAACAAGUUAAAUAUUUCUUGCAACCACACCCAUCAAUCACUCCACAUAGUGUCGAUUGAGGCGAACCAGACAUAGGCUAAGAUUUUUUUUUCUCACAGCCCAAACUAGUGUAAACCGGUGAGCUCAGAUCCAAGUACGGCGUAGCAGAAGAGCCAAACUUUAAGCAUAAAAUGUCGGCGUUUUAGGAAUUAUCCAAUGGGGGGCUUCAAGCAUAAAACGUCGGCAUUUUAAGGAGUAUUUCAUUAUUUAACCAAAGUAGAAAGAAAUCUCUCUCUUCCUCGUUCACAUGACCUAAUCUGAAGAUUGCUGCGGCGGCGACGACCUCACACCAAACCGCAACCAAAGCGUGGACAACUCCUUCGUUGAAGUAGUUGAUUUCUAAGUAGGUUAAUAUAUUGAUCAGAAGGAGAAGCUUGCGACUUUGUCAACAAGGAGCUUAAACUGUUUUUGAUGGCUAAUCCACUAUGGUCAACUCCUUCAAUAGUUGAUGGCCUGACCCGAGGUCAAAGAAAGGUCCUUUUCUGUGCUUUCAAGCUGAACAUGGACGAGGACGUACUAGUGUCACAAUUCUCUGAUUAUGUAGAUUGUGAAUCUAAUUAUCUUCUUCGUACUAAGUGAAAUCUUGCCAGUGCCAUUAUUCUCAUGGCACAGGAUUAUUUGGGCACCCACAACAUAAAUCUUCUUGAACCAAAUGGCCUAUUUGGAACUCGUUACCUAGGAGGCAAAGAUCAUGCUCUUCCUUCAUAUAUAUACACUCGGCUGUCUCCUUUCGCACGGGAGCGCUUCCCCAGUGAUGAUGAUACUCUGCUUGAGUACAGAGAAGAAGAUGGAAAGUCUGUUGAACCUUGUUGGUGAGCUUUUUCUGGGAUCGAUGAUGAAAGGGAAUGAUCCAUUCAUCAAGGAUCACAUAGAGCGCAAUGAUGUCACAACCGUAUAUUUUGAAGUCAUCUUACCUGCGGAGAACUUGAGCAUGGCCAAGGUUGAGGGUUUGCUUGAGAAAUUUAAGCUUACUACUAAGAUCAAGACAAGUGACAUGGGCCUGUUCAACCGAGAAGACAUUUUUUUCACAAGUUAGACCUGUUUUAUAAGUUGUUUUAGGUCUUUACAAAAUCUAUAUAAACACUUUUUUCUCUAAGAAUUUUUAUGGCUUUUGAAAUCAACUUUUGCAAUUUUUGAAAGAGCCCUCUUGUAGUGUUUGUUUUCAAUUUGAUAGUGCAUUAUACACAUGAGUGAUUUAAAAUGUUGUUCUCUAUUUGAUUGGAGUUCGACUUAUUAAAGAUUCAUUCCUACCAUUGAGAAAAUCAAAGUUUCUCUUUUAUCUUCACCAAUUUAGAUUUGAAGGAAAUGAGGAAUCAAUUGAGCUAUGAAGGGGACAAAGCAUUCACGGAGUGUUUAUGUUUUACCUACAACACCCUUCUACAAUGAGUAAGGUGUAAACCUAAAAGCUAGAGUGUUGGGACGGGGGAGUCGCAAAGCUAUUCAACAAUUAGUUCUUGGUAGAGCAAAGUGGGUGUA